rnacentral:rRNA from 1 species
UGGGGAAUUUUGGACAAUGGGCGAAAGCCUGAUCCAGCAAUGCCGCGUGUGUGAAGAAGGCCUUCGGGUUGUAAAGCACUUUUGUCCGGAAAGAAAUCCUUGGCUCUAAUACAGUCGGGGGAUGACGGUACCGGAAGAAUAAGCACCGGCUAACUACGUGCCAGCAGCCGCGGUAAUACGUAGGGUGCAAGCGUUAAUCGGAAUUACUGGGCGUAAAGCGUGCGCAGGCGGUUUGCUAAGACCGAUGUGAAAUCCCCGGGCUCAACCUGGGAACUGCAUUGGUGACUGGCAGGCUAGAGUAUGGCAGAGGGGGGUAGAAUUCCACGUGUAGCAGUGAAAUGCGUAGAGAUGUGGAGGAAUACCGAUGGCGAAGGCAGCCCCCUGGGCCAAUACUGACGCUCAUGCACGAAAGCGGGGGAGCAAACAGAUUAGAUACCCUGGUAGUCCACGCCCUAAACGAUGUCAACUAGUUGUUGGGGAUUCAUUUUCCUUAGUAACGUAGCUAACGCGUGAAGUUGACCG